GGCCUGGUGGUGUAGUGGUAACAUACUCUCUUAUCUUAAGCGAUUGGUAUUCUGUUUCUGAGGGAGCCCCUUGUUCGAAUCAAGGCUAGGCCA